rnacentral:rRNA from 1 species
GUCCACGCCGUAAACGAUGAGAACUAAGUGUUGGCCAAAAGGUCAGUGCUGCAGUUAACGCAUUAAGUUCUCCGCCUGAGUAGUACGUGCGCAAGCAUGAAACUCAAAGGAAUUGACGGGACCCCGCACAAGCGGUGGAUCAUGUUGUUUAAUUCGAAGAUACACGAAAAACCUUACCAGGUCUUGACAUACUCUGCAAAGGCUUAAGAAAUAAGUACGGAGGCUAACAGAUGUACAGGUGGUGCACGGUUGUCGU